GGGGGAUUAGCUCAGCUGGAUAGAGCGCUUGAUUGACAUUCAAGAGGUCGGUGGUUCAAGUCCACCAUCUCCCA
rnacentral:tRNA from 1 species